rnacentral:tRNA from 1 species
UCCUGGCUGGCUCAGUUGGUAGAGCGUGUGAUUCUUGAUCUCAGGGUUAUAAAUUCAAUCUCCAUGUUGGGUA